UGGGGAAUCUUGGACAAUGGGCGCAAGCCUGAUCCAGCCAUGCCGCGUGAGUGAAGAAGGCCUUCGGGUUGUAAAGCUCUUUUACCAGGGACGAUAAUGACGGUACCUGGAGAAUAAGCCCCGGCAAACUUCGUGCCAGCAGCCGCGGUAAUACGAAGGGGGCUAGCGUUGUUCGGAAUUACUGGGCGUAAAGCGCACGUAGGCGGAUUGUUAAGUCAGAGGUGAAAUCCCGGAGCUCAACUUCGGAACUGCCUUUGAUACUAGCGGGCUUGAGUGUGGCAGAGGGGGGUGGAAUUCCACGUGUAGCAGUGAAAUGCGUAGAGAUGUGGAGGAACACCGAUGGCGAAGGCAGCCCCCUGGGUCAACACUGACGCUCAUGCACGAAAGCGUGGGGAGCAAACAGGAUUAGAUACCCACGUAGUCCCUGAGCGGGCUGGCAAGGCGCAU
rnacentral:rRNA from 1 species